rnacentral:rRNA from 1 species
GGUUGACCUCGGAUCAGGUAGGAGUUACCCGCUGAACUUAAGCAUAUCAAUAAGCGGAGGAAAAGAAACCAACCGGGAUUGCCUCAGUAACGGCGAGUGAAGCGGCAAGAGCUCAAAUUUGAAAUCUGGCCCCUCCGGGGUCCGAGUUGUAAUUUGCAGAGGAUGCUUCGGGUGCGGUCCCCGUCUAAGUGCCCUGGAACGGGCCGUCAUAGAGGGUGAGAAUCCCGUCU